rnacentral:lncRNA from 1 species
GGACUUUUUGGCAUCCUUCCUUCCAAGUUUGAAGGAAAAACUCCAUUAGUACAAGGCGUGGGACUCUGAGGAAGAAAGUUGCGCUGCUGCUGCCUUUCUUCUAUCUCCACUACUUCUUCGAUUGAAGAUCGUCUUUCAGAUCUGAAGAAGAAUCAAACCAAUAAUCAAAAGAUCUUCUCUAUAAGGGAACUAGCACCUC